rnacentral:rRNA from 1 species
ACAACGACUCUCGGCAACGGAUAUCUCGGCUCUCGCAUCGAUGAAGAACGUAGCGAAAUGCGAUACUUGGUGUGAAUUGCAGAAUCCCGUGAACCAUCGAGUCUUUGAACGCAAGUUGCGCCCGAAGCCUUUAGGCCGAGGGCACGCCUGCCUGGGCGUCUCAC